GUGGCGUGUGAACUGCCCUUACCCUCUGGUUGAGUAACCAGAAAAGGUCAUGUGGGCAUCAUCGGAGAAGGCAAAAUUCCCUUCCCUAACACUGUGAGUGUUAGCCACUAAAUCCCGACAGUAACGAGUGAAUCACCGUCUUUUAAUCAGAAACUGCACAGAAAAGCUCAAAGUUUGAGGCUGAGAGAAGGGGAGGAGCAGGAACAGAAGCAGAGUGUGCAGACAAUGAGUGUGCUGGACAGAGCACAUGAUCAGAAGAUGGAUUUGGCACAUAAAGGCACAGGUCUCAAAGUCAAAUUAACUACAAGAAGAAGACCAAGGCAGCAGUGAUCAGCAGGGAGAAAAUGUACACAAGAAAAGAAAAUGUACACUGCAGAAUUUUUUUGGGAGUUUUGUAUGUCCUUCCCGAGUGAUUUUCUGCAAUGGGAUCAUCCUCUGUGGGCCACAAGGUCAGAGCACUUCCCAGGCAGGCUUUAAAGUUGGUUCAAAGGCAGUUCAGGCUCCAUUCAUUGAUAAGUUCUGAGAAACCAGGCUAGAAGAGGCAAUUUGUACACUCUGCCUAUUUAAGGAAUGAAAACGAACUCAUUUGAAGGGUCACAGCUCCGUGCCUGUGAAACCAUGGCUUUGAAGAGUCUGGAGCAGGCAAGUCAAGACU